rnacentral:pre_miRNA from 1 species
GGGGAGGGGCGUAUCCUGGGCUGUGUCCGGAGCCCUGUGCUCCCGGCCUGCGCUGUUGGAUUCGCGCUCCCUGCCGGGCAGCCCCCU